rfam:Canis lupus familiaris chromosome 27, whole genome shotgun sequence.
GAGUUUGUGUGGGAUGUGAUAUCUGUCACCCCACUGAUCCUCAGGGUUGAUCUGGCUGAUCAGGCUGACUAGACAGGUGUCCUCUUCCUCCCUCAAUGCUUCAUGUGUGUCUCUCCCAAAGCUGCACACUCAGUGGAAAAAGAUGAUUUUCCGCACAGAGGAGAAGCAUUCUUCAGUCAAGGGUAUGUGAGUAGCUGCGUGCCUAUGCUAGCACCUCCAAACAAGCUCUCAGCAUACAUUCAUAGGACAAUGUAGGGUAGUCAAGCUUCCAAUGCUCCAGACACAUCUAAAUGAGGUGCUGCAUGUGGCAGUCUGACUUUCAAA